GAAAACUGCCUCUUUCGGUGAUGGUGAAGGAUUGAUCAAACGUAAGACAUAAGUGACCCCCAUUAAAAGGGAUACGGCAGUAGCAAUUUCGAGACCAAAUGCUAAACUCGAGGCAUUAUCGGACGUAAUUGCAGCUCCGGAAACAAAAAUGAGUACUGCUGCAGAUAAAAUAG
rnacentral:rRNA from 12 species